rnacentral:tRNA from 1 species
UAGCUCAGUGGUAGAGUGCAUGCUUUGUAUGCAUGAGGACCUGGAUUCAAUCUCUAG